rnacentral:rRNA from 1 species
ACUCCUACGGGAGGCAGCAGUGGGGAAUAUUGCACAAUGGGCGCAAGCCUGAUGCAGCAACGCCGUGUGAGUGAAGAAGGUUUUCGGAUCGUAAAACUCUGUCCUAAGGGAAGAAACAAAUGACGGUACCUUAGGAGGAAGCCCCGGCUAACUACGUGCCAGCAGCCGCGGUAAUACGUAGGGGCAAGCGUUAUCCGGAAUCACUGGGCGUAAAGGGUGCGUAGGCGGCUUAGCAAGCCAGGGGUGAAAGGCAUUGGCUCAACCAAUGUAAGCCUUUGGAACUGUUAAGCUUGAGUGCAGGAGAGGUAAGUGGAAUUCCUAGUGUAGAGGUGAAAUUCGUAGAUAUUAGGAGGAACACCAGUGGCGAAGGCGACUUACUGGACUGUAACUGACGCUGAUGCACGAAAGCGUGGGUAGCGAACAGGAUUAGAUACCCUGGUAGCACAG